GACGAACGCUGGCGGCAUGCCUAAUACAUGCAAGUCGAGCGAACAGAUGAAGUGCUUGCACUUCUGACGUUAGCGGCGAACGGGUGAGUAACACGUAAGGAAUCUACCUAUAAGCGGGGGAUAACAUUCGGAAACGGGUGCUAAUACCGCAUAAUAUCUUCCUCCGCAUGGAAGAAGAUUGAAAGACGGCUCUGCUGUCACUUAUAGAUGACCUUGCGGUGCAUUAGUUAGUUGGUGGGGUAACGGCCUACCAAGACGAUGAUGCAUAGCCGACCUGAGAGGGUGAUCGGCCACAUUGGGACUGAGACACGGCCCAAACUCCUACGGGAGGCAGCAGUAGGAAAUCUUCCGCAAUGGGCGAAAGCCUGACGGAGCAAUGCCGCGUGAGUGAAGAAGGCCUUCGGGUCGUAAAACUCUGUUAUAAGAGAAGAACAAAUUGUAGAGUAACUGCUACAGUCUUGACGGUAUCUUAUCAGAAAGCCACGGCUAACUACGUGCCAGCCGCCGCAGUAA
rnacentral:rRNA from 1 species